GAGCAGAGUCCUGGCUUCUGGUCCAGCAUCAAUAUAUGCCUGGUUGUCCAGACUGGAUGUCUCAGGGGCCUUGGAGCCCUCCCUUUUGCUUAGGGAGUUCAACCCAGGACAUUCUUUCUAACCACACAUAAUCAGUGAAGAAAUAUUAGAAAAAUGAAGUGAA
rnacentral:lncRNA from 1 species